rnacentral:rRNA from 1 species
AGAGUUUGAUCCUGGCUCAGAUUGAACGCUAGCGGCAUGCCUUACACAUGCAAGUCGAUCGGCAGCGGGGGAGCUUGCUCCCGCCGGCGAGUGGCAAACGGGUGAGUAAUACAUCGGAACGUGCCCAGUAGUGGGGGAUAGCCCGGCGAAAGCCGGAUUAAUACCGCAUACGACCUACGGGUGAAAGCGGGGGACCGAAAGGCCUCGCGCUAUUGGAGCGGCCGAUGGCUGACUAGCUAGUUGGUGGGGUAAAGGCCUACCAAGGCUACGAUCAGUAGCUGGUCUGAGAGGACGACCAGCCACACUGGGACUGAGACACGGCGCAGACUCCUACGGGAGGCAGCAGUGGGGAAUUUUGGACAAUGGGCGAAAGCCUGAUCCAGCAAUGCCGCGUGUGCGAAGAAGGCCUUCGGGUUGUAAAGCACUUUUGUCAGGAAAGAAAUUGUCUGGGCUAAUACCCCGGGCCGUUGACGGUACCUGAAGAAUAAGCACCGGCUAACUACGUGCCAGCAGCCGCGGUAAUACGUAGGGUGCGAGCGUUAAUCGGAAUUACUGGGCGUAAAGCGUGCGCAGGCGGUUUGUUAAGACAGUUGUGAAAUCCCCGGGCUUAACCUGGGAACUGCAAUUGUGACUGGCAGGCUAGAGCUUGGCAGAGGGGGGUGGAAUUCCUGGUGUAGCAGUGAAAUGCGUAGAUAUCAGGAGGAACACCGAUGGCGAAGGCAGCCCCCUGGGCCAUGACUGACGCUCAUGCACGAAAGCGUGGGGAGCAAACAGGAUUAGAUACCCUGGUAGUCCACGCCCUAAACGAUGUCUACUAGUUGUUGGGUCUUCAUUGACUUAGUAACGAAGCUAACGCGUGAAGUA